rnacentral:lncRNA from 1 species
GCAGGUGUGCUGGCGCUGUGGGUCCUGGUGACACACGUGAUGUACAUGCAGGAUUACUGGAGGACGUGGCUCAAGGGGCUGCGCGGCUUCUUCUUUGUGGGAGUCCUCUUCUCUGCCAUCUCCAUCGCCACCUUCUGCACCUUCCUGGCGCUGGCCAUCACCGGACACCAGAGCAUCACAGACCCCAACAGCUACUACCUCUCCUGUGUCUGGAGCUUCAUUUCCUUCAAGUGGGCCUUCCUACUUAGCCUCUACGCCCACCGCUACCGGGCUGACUUUGCCGACAUCAGCAUUCUCAGCGAUUUCUGACCCAAGGGAUGAGGUCUCUGCACCCCGGCGGUCCUCAGGACCUGGACUCAGCCUCUGAGACACCGGGUGGGCCUGCCCCACCCCCUGGGAGCCCCAGAACCAGGGCAGAAAAUACACAGCAGGAGGACGUCUGCCUCCCUGGAAGACAGGGUCCCCUUUGGGGGAACCCUGGGUGCCAUGGGGAGGGGUCCUGCCAUGUUGCUCGUCAGCCUGGCGGGUGGACAGCUUUAGACCUUUCCAAGUGGAUGUUUUCUUUGCCCUCGGUGGGUAAUCUUUGUAAGCAGGGCCAGGGCAGCGGUCAAGGGGUAGGGCAGUGGGGCCUUGACCUGUGCCCGGAGGCCAGCGGUUUGGUCCCUGCUGCCCUGGGUGCUCUCCCUGAACCAGGGGUGGCCAAGUCAAUAAGAGGGGAGGUCAAGUCAAUAAGAGAUCCCUGGCAGCGCCUUCUCGACGCCCUACCCCAGCACCCCCAUCCUGUUGUCCCCGAAGGGGCAGUAGCUGAACUCCUUGGUCCCAGGGAUGGUGACAUUUGGCUCUUUUCCCAAGGCCUGGGGACUUGAGGGGAGAGUUCGGUGUCCCUCUUCCCACCCUGUUCCACGCAGCGCUGGUUCCCAAGAGAGCACUAGAGCUAUCCUCGCCUUCACCACACGCCCCAGAGUGGGACACCCUGAACGAGGCCAGACUGAGGGUCUUGGGGAAGGUGCUUCUGCCCCCGGAAGGGCUUUCGGGAAGGGCCCAGCGCCUCCAGCUCUGCGUGCCCCCCUGGCCUUCUCACGCCUGUCCCUCAUCAACGCCCAGAUGACCCCCGGCCCCGCGACACCUCCCAGCUCCUGCCCCUGCCCACUGCCCUUCACUUAAGCACCUUUUAAAACCUCCCUUCUAGAGGACAAAACCUGCUUAACUGCCUACACACUGGCCCAAGGGCUCACCUAACUCGGGAGGGAAGGGGCCACAUCUUUUUAUCUUCGGUUGCCAUUUUGCACGGUUUACCCCUUCCCCACCCGAUGUGUCCUGCCCCUCAGCUCUUUGCCUUAUCUGUGUCACUGUCACUUUAGCAGAAAUAACAGCGGCCAUUUCUAUCAGCC